CCCCGUGACAGCUAGGAUGUUGGCUUGGAAGCAGCCAUUCAUUCAAAGAGUGCGUAACAGCUCACUAGUCGAGGGUCUGGGCAUGGAUAAUAAUCGGGUAUAAGACAGAUACCGAAGGCGCGGGAUAGUAAUAAUAAAAGUAUCGGUAGGGGAGCAUUCUAUAUACGUUGAAUGGUUAAGGUAACUUUUCCUGGAGUGUAUAGAAAAGCAAAUGUAGGUAUAAGUAACGAUAAGAAGGGUAAGAUUCCCUUCCGCCGCAAGACUAAGGUUUCCCGGGCAAUGCCAAUCAUCCCGGGGUUAGUCGGGUCCUAAGUCUCAGCCGACAGGCGAGGGCGAUGGCAGACACGGUUAAUAUUCCGUGACUGCUGCAUGAUGCGAUUGUGGAGACGGAGAAGUGACACCACCGCGAGCUGACGGAAUAGCUCGUUGAAGAAAUUAGGCUUUGAUCAUGGUAGGCAAAUCCGCCAUGAGAGCUGACUUUUGAAAGUAUGGCAUUCCCUUCGGGGAAAGCCAAUAGUGUGGGUAAUCCUGCUUCCAAGAAAAUCCGCUAAGCUUCAGUCAUGCAGCACCCGUACCGCAAACGGACACACGUAGUCGGGUUGAAUAUACUCAGGCGUUGAGAGAUUCAUGGUUAAGGAACUAGGCAAAUUAACCCCGUAACUUCGGGAAAAGGGGUCCUCGUUAUUUACGAGGCGCAGAGAAUAGGUCCAGGCAACUGUUUACCAAAAACACAGGGCUGUGCUAACUCGAAAGAUGAAGUAUACAGUCUGACACCUGCCCGGUGCUGGAAGGUUAAGAGGAGAGGUCAUACGCAAGUAGAAGCUUUGAAUUGAAGCCCCAGUAAACGGCGGCCGUAACUAUAACGGUCCUAAGGUAGCGAAAUUCCUUGUCGGGUAAGUUCCGACCUGCACGAAUGGUGUAAUGAUCUGGACACUGUCUCAAUCAUGAUCUCAGUGAAAUUGUAGUAUCGGUGAAGAUGCCGAUUACCCGCGAUGGGACGAAAAGACCCCGUGAACCUUUACUAUAGCUUAGCAUUGACCUUGGUCAUCCGAUGUGUAGGAUAGGCCGGAGGCUUAGAAGGAGGCGCGCCAGCGCUUUUGGAGCCAUCGUUGAAAUACGGCCCUUUGGCUGUCUGAGGUCUAACGCGCUUAAAGUGCGGACACUGCUUGGUGGGUAGUUUGACUGGGGUGGUCGCCUCCAAAAGCGUAACGGAGGCUUCCAAAGGUGCCCUCAGGUCGAUUGGUAACCGACCUUUUAGAGUGCAAUGGCAUAAGGGCGCUUGACUGGGAGGCAGACAUGCCGAGCAGGCAGGAAACUGGGGCAUAGUGAUCCGGUGCAUGUGUAUGGAAACUGCAUCGCUCAAAGGAUAAAAGGUACUCCGGGGAUAACAGGCUGAUCCCCCCCAAGAGCUCAUAUCGACGGGGUGGUUUGGCACCUCGAUGUCGGCUCGUCACAUCCUGGGGCUGGAGAAGGUCCCAAGGGUUGGGCUGUUCGCCCAUUAAAGUGGCACGCGAGCUGGGUUCAGAACGUCGUGAGACAGUUCGGUCUCUAUCUAUCGUGGGCGCAGGAGUUUUGCGUGGUGCCGUCACUAGUACGAGAGGACCGUGAUGGACAGACCUCUGGUUUACCAGUUGUGCCGCCAGGCGCACCGCUGGGUAUCUAAGUCUGGUUAGGAUAAGCGCUGAAAGCAUCUAAGUGCGAAGCCAUCCGCAAGAUGAGAACUCCAUAUAAGGGUCGUUGUAGACGACGACGUUGAUAGGGUGCAGGUGUAAAGCCAGCGAUGGCAAAGCCGAGCACUACUAAUUGCCCAAGACUUUCUUUUG
rnacentral:rRNA from 1 species